rnacentral:rRNA from 1 species
CAGGAGCUUGCUCCUGGGCGUCGAGUGGCGGACGGGUGAGUAAUGCAUAGGAAUCUGCCCAUGUAGCGGGGGACAACCUGGGGAAACUCAGGCUAAUACCGCAUAAGCCCUUCGGGGGAAAGCAGGGGAUCUUCGGACCUUGCGCUAUUGGAUGAGCCUAUGUCUGAUUAGCUUGUUGGUGGGGUAACGGCCUACCAAGGCGACGAUCAGUAGCUGGUCUGAGAGGACGAUCAGCCACACUGGGACUGAGACACGGCCCAGACUCCUACGGGAGGCAGCAGUGGGGAAUAUUGGACAAUGGGCGCAAGCCUGAUCCAGCAAUGCCGCGUGUGUGAAGAAGGCCUGCGGGUUGUAAAGCACUUUCAGUGGGGAGGAAAAGCUCAAGGUUAACACCCUUGGGUCUUGACGUUAUCUACAGAAGAAGCACCGGCUAACUCUGUGCCAGCAGCCGCGGUAAUACAGAGGGUGCAAGCGUUAAUCGGAAUUACUGGGCGUGAAGCGCGCGUAGGCGGUUUGUUAAGUCGGAUGUGAAAGCCCCGGGCUCAACCCGGGAACUGCAUUCGAUACUGGCAGGCUAGAGUAUGGUAGAGGGAAGUGGAAUUCCGGGUGUAGCGGUGAAAUGCGUAGAUAUCCGGAGGAACAUCANUGGCGAAGGCGGCUUCCUGGACCAAUACUGACGCUGA